UACGGAGGGGGCUAGCGUUGUUCGGAAUUACUGGGCGUAAAGCGCACGUAGGCGGCUUUGUAAGUUAGAGGUGAAAGCCCGGGGCUCAACUCCGGAAUUGCCUUUAAGACUGCAUCGCUAGAAUUGUGGAGAGGUAAGUGGAAUUCCGAGUGUAGAGGUGAAAUUCGUAGAUAUUUGGAAGAACACCAGUGGCGAAGGCGACUUACUGGACACAUAUUGACGCUGAGGUGCGAAAGCGUGGGGAGCAAACAGG
rnacentral:rRNA from 1 species